AUAUUACUCCCCCCAUCCGGAAAUACUUGUCCUAGAAAUGGAUAUAAUGGAUGUAUCUAUAACAAAAAUAAGUCUAAAUACAUUCGUAUCUAGGAUAAGUAUUUCCGGACGGAGGAAGUAUUUA
rfam:Hordeum vulgare subsp. vulgare, WGS project CAJW01000000 data, contig: morex_contig_72653